rnacentral:rRNA from 1 species
CCUACGGGGCGCAGCAGUGAGGAAUAUUGGUCAAUGGCCGAGAGGCUGAACCAGCCAAGUCGCGUGAGGGAAGACGGCCCUACGGGUUGUAAACCUCUUUUGUCGGGGAGCAAAGAGAGUCACGUGUGACUCGUUGAGAGUACCCGAAGAAAAAGCAUCGGCUAACUCCGUUCCCGCAGCCGCGGUAAUACGGGGGAUGCGAGCGUUAUCCGGAUUUAUUGGGGUUAAAGGGUGCGUAGGCGGAGGUACAAGUCAGCGGUCAAAUUGCGGGGCUCAACCCCGUACUGCCGUUGAAACUGCAUCCCUUGAGUGCGCGAGAGGUAUGCGGAAUGCGUGGUGUAGCGGGGAAAUGCAUA